rnacentral:rRNA from 1 species
CAGUAACACGUGGCUGACCUGCCCUCGGGACGGGAAUACCCCCGGGAAACUGGGGCUAAUCCCCGAUAGGUGAAGAACUCUGGAAUGAGUCUCCGCCCAAAAGACGCUUAAAUCAUGCUUUUAGGCGCCGCCCAAGGAUGGGGCCGCGACCGAUCAGGUAGUUGGUGAGGCAACGGCUCACCAAGCCUUUAACCGGUGCGGGCCGUGAGAGCGGGAGCCCGGAGAUGGGCACUGAGACAAGGGCCCAGGCCCUACGGGGCGCAGCAGUCGCGAAAACUUUGCAAUACACGAAAGUGUGACAGGGCUAUCCCGAGUGCCAUCCGCUGAGGAAGGCUUUUACCCAGUCUAGAAAGCUGGGAGAAUAAGGAGAGGGCAAGCCUGGUGUCAGCCGCCGCGGUAA